rnacentral:rRNA from 1 species
GAUGAACGCUGACGGCGUGCCUAAUACAUGCAAGUCGAGCGAACGGACGAGAAGCUUGCUUCUCUGAUGUUAGCGGCGGACGGGUGAGUAACACGUGGAUAACCUACCUAUAAGACUGGGAUAACUUCGGGAAACCGGAGCUAAUACCGGAUAAUAUUUUGAACCGCAUGGUUCAAAAGUGAAAGACGGUCUUGCUGUCACUUAUAGAUGGAUCCGCGCUGCAUUAGCUAGUUGGUAAGGUAACGGCUUACCAAGGCAACGAUGCAUAGCCGACCUGAGAGGGUGAUCGACCACACUGGAACUGAGACACGGUCCAGACUCCUACGGGAGGCAGCAGUAGGGAAUCUUCCGCAAUGGGCGAAAGCCUGACGGAGCAACGCCGCGUGAGUGAUGAAGGUCUUCGGAUCGUAAAACUCUGUUAUUAGGGAAGAACAUAUGUGUAAGUAACUGUGCACAUCUUGACGGUACCUAAUCAGAAAGCCACGGCUAACUACGUG